UAUGCCCUUGACUCCUUACUGGCAAGACCAAGUGCUUCCCCCCACGUUUGGUUCAGUCCAGUAUUAACACUUUGGUCCCAUGUGACUUUAGUGGGGGGGUGACAUCUUCAACGGACAAUUGGCAGAACCGUUACAGAGGAGAGGGAUCCUGCAAUUACCAGCAAAGCAUUUCCAGCUUCUCCCACAGACCCAGAAGUUCUGCUGCUUCUUUGUCAGAACCGAACCCCAGAAAAUGAGCAAAAUGAGAGGCGGGUCCAGAAGAACCAGGGCCAGGAGGACAAUGGGCAACCGGAGAGGAAGGCGCAGCCAAACUGCAGCUCACCGUAACCGCGCUCAGCGCCGUAGCAGGAGAACCGGUACCGCUAGACGGGCCAGAACCAGUACUAGAAGGCGCAGAACCAGUACCGCUGAAUUAACUAGAAUGGUGUCAAGAGCCUAUGGCUCAGAAUAUCGCAGUUAAACCCACCCAGGAGAGCGCGGGAUCCCCACUCCCAUGAGCCAUCAGACACUGUGGUUUCUGUUCCGAAGCAUCCGAAAAUCCACAUCAAGAAGUCUCCUCUGUUCCCUACCAAAUAGCACAAAUAAAACUGACAGCAAAAGCA